GCUUGGGAUAAGCAGAAUAGAUCCCAUCUCAGGCAAGACAAAACAAAACGAGCAGAAAUCCUUCUGUUUGGGACUGAACAAGACCGAAGUCAUCAGGCAGGUGGGAGUGCAGUGCACAGCCCUAGAGGCUGAGGCAGGAAGGUGUGGAGUGCAGGGCCAGGCGACACAGCGACAGCCCGUCUCAAGACAAGCCAAGACAUCCUCAGCUCCUGAAGCUUACUCAGGGGCUCAGCCCGGAGAGCUCCGGUGCUUUCAGCCUGGCAGACAAAGGCAAGGCUUCUGUGACAGGAGGUACAGGUGACAGAUUCGCAGCUCCAUUUAUAUGUCCUAAAAAUGCCCCUGUAAACCGCUCUUCCCUCAAAAUCUAAAGCUUCUGCACCCAGCCCUGGGCCCUGCAGGCUCCUCCCAGGCUCUGCGGGCCGCGGAGCAGGGCAUUCCGGCCACGCAGCGCUGGAAGCCUCUGGCUGCAGCGCCAGGUGCGGCCGGCCUUGGACGCGAGGCCGCAUUCCUGGGAUUCCUGCCGGGGACCGCCCCCUGGCUGGGGCCCCUGGUCCCCACUCCCUGCCGGGCCUGCUUCCGGGGGCCAAGGCUGCGCUCCCAGCCGCCUGGAGGCCGAGCGCCGUCCCGGGGACACGGGCCUUCCGAUGCCGCUGGGUGGUCACCAAGAGCGGCUGUGGGCUUGCCCCAUCCCCCUCCUUCCGCUGUCACCCUGGGCGCCGCACAGAGGCCGGCUGAUCGGGUGGAGGCAGUUGUCCGAAAGCCCGCAAACAGCAUGGAGGAGCUCCAGGCCCACAUGAUCUCGUCCCUUCCAAGGCGGAGGACAGCAAGAUAAGAAAUGGACAGCAACAUUCAGCUGCCGAGGAGCGAGAAGCCUCUGCUCACCCUGAGCCUGCAGCCAACUCGGAUUCCAGCACAGCCUCAGCAAAACCCGAGGCUGCCUGGCAGGAGGAAGCUCCCCCAGGAGGCCGGAUGGGACAUGAAGCUGUCCCUCCCUUGAUGGGUGAUAAUGGAUGACAAGCACCUCUAAAAGGUAGCCCCAGAGCCUUCCAGAUCCUGCAUCGCCCACCUUUCCCGCCUUUGCGAGGCCCUGUCCCCCAGGCUGCAAUUCCUGGACCCCAAGAAAAGGACUUUGCUUCUGCCGGUUCGGAGUUUGCAUUGGGCCCCAGGGGGCCGGGCACAGCAUGUCCCCAAGGACACUCUGCAUUGGUGUCUGUCCCCCCCUCCAGGUAUCAGCAUGCCAGAGACAACGGGGAGCCCCACAUGCUCCAGCUGUGAGCACGAGAGAGUCACAGCAGUCCGUCCCUGAGUGGGCAAGACAACGGCCUGAACCCGCCAAACCUGGGGCCAACGCCUUCCUGCAGAAAGCACGCGCGACCGGAGAGCCCUUUAAGACAUUUCGCCUGCCGAGGUUUUCUGACCCUCGCCGCCGCCCGUCGCCCCGCCCCCGACGUC